rnacentral:rRNA from 1 species
UGGGGAAUCUUGCACAAUGGAGGAAACUCUGAUGCAGCGACGCCGCGUGGACGAUGAAGCCCUUCGGGGUGUAAAGUCCUUUCGACCGGAACGAUAAUGACGGUACCGGUGGAAGAAGCUGCGGCUAACUACGUGCCAGCAGCCGCGGUAAUACGUAGGCAGCAAGCGUUGUUCGGAAUUACUGGGCGUAAAGAGUUCGUAGGCGGUGCGGCAAGUUUGGUGUGAAAUCUCCCGGCUCAACUGGGAGGGUGCGCCGAAUACUGCCGUGCUCGAGUAUAGGAGAGGUAAGCGGAAUUCCUGGUGUAGCGGUGAAAUGCGUAGAUAUCAGGAGGAACACCUGUGGUGUAGACGGCUUACUGGACUAUAACUGACGCUGAGGAACGAA